AACUUUGAGCGGUGGAUCACUCGGCUCGUGUGUCGAUGAAGAGUGCAGCCAACUGUGUGAAUUAAUGUGAACUGCAUACUGCUUUGAACAUCGACAUCUUGAACGCAUAUUGCGGCCAUGGGUUGUCCUGUGGCCACGCCUGUCCGAGGGUCGGCU
rnacentral:rRNA from 1 species